rnacentral:rRNA from 1 species
GAGCUUGCUCCCGGAUGUUAGCGGCGGACGGGUGAGUAACACGUGGGUAACCUGCCUGUAAGACUGGGAUAACUCCGGGAAACCGGAGCUAAUACCGGAUAGUUCCUUGAACCGCAUGGUUCAAGGAUGAAAGACGGUUUCGGCUGUCACUUACGGAUGGACCCGCGGCGCAUUAGCUAGUUGGUGGGGGAAUGGCUCACCAAGGCGACGAUGCGUAACCGACCUGAGAGGGUGAUCGGCCACACUGGGACUGACACACGGCCCACACUCCUACGGGAGGCAGCAGUAGGGAAUCUUCCGCAAUGGACGAAAGUCUGACGGACCACCGCCGCGUGAGUGAUGAAGGUUUUCGGAUCGUAAAGCUCUGUUGUUAGGAAAGAACAAGUGCGAGAGUAACUGCUCGCACCUUGACGGUACCUAACCAGAAAGCCACGGCUAACUACGUGCCACCAGCCGCGGUAAUACGUAGGUGGCAAGCGUUGUCCGGAAUUAUUGGGCGUAAAGGGCUCGCAGGCGGUUUCUUAAGUCUGAUGUGAAAGCCCCCGGCUCAACCGGGGAGGGUCAUUGGAAACUGGGAAACUUGAGUGCAAAAAAAGAGAGUGUAAUUCCACGUGUAGCGGUGAAAUGCGUAUAGAUGUGGAGGAACACCAGUGGCGAAAGCCACUCUCUGGUCUGUAACUGACG